rnacentral:lncRNA from 1 species
UGAGAAAGGACAGAUGGAAGGCAGGAAGGCAAGUGUCUCUCCCACAUGUUUCUCUCACUGUCUUCUUUUUGUAGCCCAGAACACCACCAAAGAGAUUUGGACUACUUCAGGAGUCCCUUCCAACACUCCAGCCACCUGCAGGGCAUCACCAAGGAGAUGGACUAUGAAGAAGGUCCUGGGGACAUCCAUUAUGCCUCAGUGACCUACAUUGGCCCCAGAGAACCGAUGUGCACAAACACACAGAAGGCAUCCAGCUCGAAGACUAUGCAAAUGCCCUUUGAGUCUGUGGAAUAUGCCAGCAUCACAAGGGCUGAACAUCAGCAUCCCAAAUCAACAGCCAUAUAUGAGUCAAUGGGCAAGGAGAGUUAGUCAUCUGUAGGUGCUUAAUAAAUACAUGUUGAUUGCUAAUAUAGAAAUAUGU